rnacentral:rRNA from 1 species
AAUACCGCAUACGUCCUACGGGAGAAAGCAGGGGACCUUCGGGCCUUGCGCUAUCAGAUGAGCCUAGGUCGGAUUAGCUAGUUGGUGAGGUAAUGGCUCACCAAGGCGACGAUCCGUAACUGGUCUGAGAGGAUGAUCAGUCACACUGGAACUGAGACACGGUCCAGACUCCUACGGGAGGCAGCAGUGGGGAAUAUUGGACAAUGGGCGAAAGCCUGAUCCAGACAGGCCGCGUGUGUGAAGAAGGUCUUCGGA